CAGCGAGAGACGUUAACCACCGAGGGUCGGUUUUUAGACACGCCCAGUGCAACUAUGCACGCCUACUUUUGGAGCUCUUUAGUAUGAAGAUAAGAAAAGUAUACAGAAUUGAGGGACUGUCGACAAUGUUUUAUAUUGUUCUUGGUUUACAGACGUUACCCGUAAAUAAACUGGACCCCUGUUGUUGUGUUUAUUUAUCGCUGCACUGAGCCUCAUGCACUACGAUGGAAUGGCGGACCAGUUUAAACAUGCCCCAGAAUGGUCAGAACAGUGGCAAAAGACUAAUCCAGAUUACCAAAAAAUAGAAGUUGUUCAGCUACCAUUCAUGCCAUAAGCAUGAUAAGAAAAAUUUUGCAGUUUCCAGAAUUUGAGGUAAUCAAGAUUUAGUGUUUCCAUACAAGUGUCAAAGAUUGAACGACAAAAACAUCUAAAACUUUACAGGACAGAGUAGACUUUUUCACUGUGCUUCAUUUUGUCUUUAUGUCUAAAUAAUGAUACAUUUUAAAAAACCAAUAAAAUAUGGAAUAAAAAAGAUUGUUAUCUUAUAAAAUGGAGUGAAGAAAUAAGGGGUGAUUGAAAACAUAAGAAUAUAUUGCUAUCA